rnacentral:rRNA from 1 species
UACGUAGGUGGCAAGCGUUAUCCGGAAUUAUUGGGCGUAAAGCGCGCGCAGGUGGUUUCUUAAGUCUGUUGUGAAAGCCCCGGGCUCAACCUGGGAAUGGCAAUGGAUACUGGCAGGCUAGAGUGCGGUAGAGGGUAGUGGAAUUCCCGGUGUAGCGGUGAAAUGCGUAGAGAUCGGGAGGAACACCAGUGGCGAAGGCGGCUACCUGGACCAGCACUGACACUGAGGCACGAAAGCGUGGGGAGCAAACAGG